AGAGUUUGAUCAUGGCUCAGAGCGAACGGUGGCGGCGUGGAUUAGGCAUGCAAGUCGAACGCGAAAGGCUGGGCAACUGGCCGAGUAGAGUGGCGGACUGGUGAGUAAUGUAUGGAUAACCUACCCUGGAGACGGGGAUAACCACUGGAAACGGUGGCUAAUACCCGAUGGUCCAACUGGAAGACACUUUUGGUUGGUAAAGGGAGCAAUCCUGUUCUGGGAGGGGUCCAUAUCCUAUCAGCUAGUUGGUGAGGUGAUGGCUCACCAAGGCGACGACGGGUAGCCGAACUGAGAGGUCGAUCGGCCACAUCGGAACUGAGAACUGUCCGGACUCCUACGGGAGGCUGCAGUCGAGAAUCUUCUGCAAUGGGCGCAAGCCUGACAGAGCGACGCCGCGUGCGGGAUGAAGGCCCUCGGGUUGUAAACCGCUGUCACUCGUUAAGAAAGCCUGGGGUAGGCCUCCAGGUUGACGUUAGCGAGAAAGGAAGUCACGGCUAACUUCGUGCCAGCAGCCGCGGUAAGACGAAGGUGACGACCGUUGCUCGGAAUCACUGGGCAUAAAGCGCGCGUAGGUGGCUUGGUAAGUCCAUGGUGAAAUCCCUCGGCUCAACCGAGGAACUGCCGUGGAUACUGCCGAGCUUGAGUACGGGAGGGGUAAGUGGAACUCUCGGUGUAGCGGUGAAAUGCGUAGAUAUCGAGAGGAACGCCGGUGGCGAAAGCGACUUACUGGACCGUAACUGACACUGAUGCGCGAAAGCUAGGGGAGCAAACAGGAUUAGAUACCCUAGUAGUCC
rnacentral:rRNA from 1 species